rnacentral:lncRNA from 1 species
ACAGUAUGUUGUUUCUGCUUUCACUUUAUUACUUCUUUAUAUUUCCACUGACUGUGGUGCUGUAGAAUUUUUUGUCACAGUUAUGCUCUUAUUCUCUAUCUUGUGCUUUUCUUUGGUACACUGGUAUUUGUUGCAGGAUUGUAAAGUUAUGAUAUUUUUAGAUAUCCAAUAAUAUAUGAUUAAACCACAGGAAGAAACUGAACUAAACUAAUGUCUGCAAUGGAAAGUAAAAAUCAAGGAAAUUUCAGUUAGUGUUCUACUUUAAAAAAUAACCUCUAUUAGAUUAUUUUCUUUUGUAUGCAAAUUUACAACCUUUUUUUCUUUGUCCACAGGUAAUUUUUUUUUCCCCACAGGUAAUUUUUUAAAAAGAUUUUAUUUACUCAUUUGAGAGAGAGAAAGAGUGCACAAGUGGGAGAGGGGCAAGGGAGAGGGAAAAGCAGGCUCCUGGCGGAGCUGGACAUGGAAGACAUGGGGUUUGAUACCAGGACCCUGAAAUCAUGACCUGAGCUGAAGUCAGAGUGCUUAACCAACUGAGCUACCCAGGCACCCCUGUACACAGGGAUUUCAUCUCCUAGUGCAGAAUUUUCCAAAUCCUGUUCCAGAAUGUAUUUCUCAAGAUGUCAGUUUCCUUCCUCAGCCAGAUUUGCUACGACUCUUCACAUCAAAUGAAGCAAAAGAUUGCUGUAGAGAGCUGAACACAGGGAACAAACAAUGCAUUAAAAAGUUCUUUGUUGCAAGAAAAAUGCAAGACAAACAAUAAAGUUCAUAAAAACAUAUACAUUUAUAAUUGUGUCUUCAUUACUAACAGUCCUGAGCAGUUGAAUUGCCAGUUAGUAUGAGGUUUUCAAAACAGGCCUAAAUAACAUUCCACCAUAAAAAUAACAUUCAUAUGUAACCACUGACAAAUUGCCACUUGGCUAAGUUAUCUUGUUUCUAAUUUUACAGGUGUUAGAUCUGGCUUGCUUCAGUCAGCUUCUUUGUCAGUCUCAUCACCUGUGAUUUCCAGUUAAAACUUUAUCACACUUAGAUGAUUGGAAAACAGUAUAGACAUGUGAGGAAAUGAUUCAACUUCUGUGACACGAGCAUUCCUUAAUAAUUACUAGAAAAAUCUCCUGAGGGAACAUAUUCACAAACAUCCAAU